GUUCAGUGAUGUUUUACAAAUGUCUGACCUGAAUAAAAAUUGUGGACAGUUAAUUUACUGAGUA